CUGAAACAUUUCCAUACCAAGCAGUAUGCUAAUAUAUCAGAAUAGAAACAAACUGGAGUAGAUUCAGCAAUACAUUUAACAUGGAAGGAAAUGCAAUCCUGAAGACCGACCCUUACGUCCUCUGUAACUUCUGCCUGCAAGUCCUAGUGACGUUAGCAACAGUGUUUGUGCAUGCUGUUUAUGGAAAACAUACUCUGACCUGCUGACAGCUGAUUUGGUCCAGUGGAACAUAUGCUAGAGGGUACAGCACCAGUCAGACGCAAAAUGAACUUCAGAGAACAGUGCUACAGAAGUGUAAGCUCAAAUAUGUACUGCUUUCAGAUGGAGCAGGAGGAAGGCAAACAGAUCUGCAUCCCAAAUGACUCUACUCCCCAUGGUAUAGAUUAAGAUGGAGUGACUUGAUUAUUCCCUGUGCCUAUUACUGGCUUUUUUCUUCACUAUGAGAGCAACUGUUCAAAAAGUAUUCUAGUGCAAGCUAGAGGAAGGAUUGGAAUAACUAUCAGAAUUGCAGUCAGUCUUUUUUUUUAGUGGGUAUAAAAAUGUGUGGAAUGAGGUGACCACUUGGUGGCAAAGCUGAAUGGCAAAUAAAAUGCGGUUCUGCUUUUUCAGUAAUGCUUUUAUUUGACUGGCAUCUAUGGGAGAUUUGAGGUAAACUGUCAGCUUUAUAAAGGCAUGCUGACUUCUGCCUGCAAGGCUGUAUUUCAGUAAUUGCACUGACUUCCAACAAUCAUUAUGCUACUUGUGGUGAUUCAACCUUGUUUGGUCUGUUGAAGACAAGAGGUAGUGAAUCAAACAGCUUUGCUUUCAUUAUGAAGUUAUAUUUGGUAAGUUGGGGCAAUGUGAGUGAAUGUAUCUUCUAGAGUCUCUUCAGCUGAUUUAGAGACAACACUACCUGAAAGCUUCAAUAGCAAGCUAAAGGACUUGCAUAUAUAGUUCAGUAAUAUGUCUCUCACUAAUACAGGUUUUGUGUUGUCCUCAUGUCAAAUGCACUUUAUAUUGUGAUGAGACAAGGCAAAAUAUAUUUAAGAAAACCAAACAAACAUCAACAACACCUUGAGAGCAAUAAAAAACUAAAGUAAAUGUGCUAGCUAACUUCUCUUUCUAGGUGUUGUUACCCAAAAAAAAAAGGGGAAUUCAAAUUAUUUUUAACGUUUUGUAGAGAGAUAUGACAUCAUUUAUUAAAUCACCUCGAUAUAUUUUGCAGGGCAGGCAGCAAGCAGAUGCAUUUGCAUGAGCCUUUUCCUCAGGUGGUGCCUGGCUGUCACUGGAAAUAUUUCAGCAUGGUAACCACUAGGUAUGCUGUCAGGAAGCUGAUGUCAUUUCCUCUCAUCAUGGCAUCAGAAAAAAAUUAUAGGUUGCUUUGAAAAUAAUGCCUCUUAUUUAUUUCUGUGAAUCUACAACAGCUACAAAAGACACAAUAAUACUAUUUAAUAGAGCAAAUUCUCAGCUACCAAACACUGUUUUUCAGCCUAGUCACAACCAUUAGCUAUGUGUUUUCACCAGCCAUGAACAAGAACAGCAGGCCACUCUCAUAAAAAUCUGCAACAGUGGAGGUGACCUAUUGUCAUUGCUGCUGAAACGCAUCACCUCACUGUGCUCACAUCCACUAUUUGGUCUCCAUCAAUGUUCAGUAAGCAUCAAUAAAUGUCAG
ensembl:lncRNA